CCCCUAAUCUGGGACAGUGGAAUAACAGUACAACAUAACAAAUGAGCUUUUUUGAAAAUAUGUCAAAGCAGUUUGAUGUUACUAAUAGUUGUUGCUGUGACAUUUUCUGUUUUGUCUUACACAGUAAUUUUCAUGAUAAUAAAGACGACAUGGAAUUUGCCAGUUUGUCAUGUAAAUGCAACAACUGUUUUUAAGAUAUCUGAUAGG
rnacentral:lncRNA from 1 species